UGGCGAACGGGUGAGUAAUACAUCGGAACGUGUCCUUAAGUGGGGAAUAACGCAUCGAAAGAUGUGCUAAUACCGCAUAUCUCUCAGGAGGAAAGCAGGGGAUCGCAAGACCUUGCGCUAAAGGAGCGGCCGAUGUCUGAUUAGCUAGUUGGUGGGGUAAAGGCCUACCAAGGCAACGAUCAGUAGCUGGUCUGAGAGGACGAUCAGCCACACUGGGACUGAGACACGGCCCAGACUCCUACGGGAGGCAGCAGUGGGGAAUUUUGGACAAUGGGCGAAAGCCUGAUCCAGCCAUGCCGCGUGAGUGAAGAAGGCCUUCGGGUUGUAAAGCUCUUUUAGUUGGAAAGAAAGAAUUAUAGUUAAUAGCUAUAAUUUAUGACGGUACCAACAGAAAAAGCACCGGCUAACUACGUGCCAG
rnacentral:rRNA from 1 species